ensembl:lncRNA
CAAGCUUAUCCAGGCAGGGACUUUGUUUUGUUUAUUGAUGUAUUCCAGAGUCUAGAAUAGAGCCUGGGAUGUAGUAACUCAGGAAAUGAAAUGUUCUUGAGGAAAUGAUCCCUGGUGCAACCUGCAGGAAGUGCAAGAAGGGAGACCAAAGUCUAAGUGGGGUGGCCAUCUUUUGCCUGACCAAAUCCUAACUCUCUCCUGCCAAGUAUGCAAAGCUUGUGGGACUAGCGGUCAUCUCAGUGGUAAGAGGACCGUCCCCAGAUUGAUUAUGGCCUGCAGGCAGAGGGCCAAGGUAGGAGCUAUAGCAGCUCAAGGAGAGCACAGUCUUCUCCAUCAGGGAUUUUCCCUGUCUGAUGGAGGAGAUAAGAUCUCUGCCUUGGAGAACCUCCAGUCUGAUGAGGGAGGCAGAAUACACACACACACACAUACCCCACACACUAAUAUGCCACUUGUUGGAAGGUCUGGGAAAGCUUCCUGACAGAGUGGGCUUUACAUGAGGUUUGUGGAAGAGGGAGGGAGAGUACGGUGGAGAGGAAGAAGCCGGAGGGAGAAUGGGUCAACUGGUCACUUUCACCUUUGCAGCCACCUGUGAGCCAGCCUGGUUUCUGGACCCCUGGCCGGAGUCGUGACCGGCACAGCCUUUCAGUGGGCUUCCUAGCCAUCACGAAGCACUCGUUUUUAGCAGAGGAGAAAGACUGUUGGCAGAGGACAGGAAUAGCUUUCCGAGCUGUUCCCCACUCGCUGCACCAGGACCUCCAUUUGUUUGCCCAGUGGCUUUCUCAGGCUACAGGAACCUGUUCAGCAGAUGCACCUGAGGUAGACCAGAAGUACCACAGAAUGGGUAGGUCUACUCUGGCU